rnacentral:rRNA from 1 species
GAUGAACGCUGGCGGCGUGCCUAAUACAUGCAAGUCGAGCGAACGGACGAGAAGCUUGCUUCUCUGAUGUUAGCGGCGGACGGGUGAGUAACACGUGGAUAACCUACCUAUAAGACUGGGAUAACUUCGGGAAACCGUAGCUAAUACCGGAUAAUAUUUUGAACCGCAUGGUUCAAAAGUGAAAGACGGUCUUGCUGUCACUUAUAGAUGGAUCCGCGCUGCAUUAGCUAGUUGGUAAGGUAACGGCUUACCAAGGCAACGAUGCAUAGCCGACCUGAGAGGGUGAUCGGCCACACUGGAACUGAGACACGGUCCAGACUCCUACGGGAGGCAGCAGUAGGGAAUCUUCCGCAAUGGGCGAAAGCCUGACGGCGCAACGCCGCGUGAGUGAUGAAGGUCUUCGGAUCGUAAAACUCUGUUAUUAGGGAAGAACAUAUGUGUAAGUAACUGUGCACAUCUUGACGGUACCUAAUCAGAAAGCCACGGCUAACUACGUG